UUACAGGUAGUUGUAGAGAGCGAUAUGGUCUCCCCUCAGCCUCCUUUUCUCCAGGCUAAACAACCCCAGCUCCCUCAGACACUCCUUGUAAGACUUGUGCUUUAGACCCUUCACCAGCUUCACUGCCCAUCUUUGGACAGGCUCCAGCACCUCAAUGUCUUUCUUAUAGUGAGGGGCCCAAAACUGAACACA